UACGGCAGGCAGCAGUGGGGAAUAUUGCACAAUGGGCGCAAGCCUGAUGCAGCCAUGCCGCGUGUAUGAAGAAGGCCUUCGGGUUGUAAAGUACUUUCAGUCGUGAGGAAGGUGUUAAGGUUAAUAACCUUAGCAAUUGACGUUAGCGACAGAAGAAGCACCGGCUAACUCCGUGCCAGCAGCCGCGGUAAUACGGAGGGUGCGAGCGUUAAUCGGAAUUACUGGGCGUAAAGGGCACGCAGGCGGUUAAUUAAGUUGGAUGUGAAAUCCCCGGGCUUAACCUGGGAAUGGCAUUCAAGACUGGUUAGCUAGAGUCUUGUAGAGGGGGUAGAAUUCCAUGUGUAGCGGUGAAAUGCGUAGAGAUGUGGAGGAAUACCGGUGGCGAAGGCGGCCCCUGGGACAAAGGACUGACGCUCAUGUGCGAAAGCGUGGGGAGCAAACAGGAUUAGAUACC
rnacentral:rRNA from 1 species